CACGUAGGGCGCGAGCGUUGUCCGGAAUUAUUGGGCGUAAAGAGCUCGUAGGCGGUUCGUCGCGUCGGCUGUGAAAUCCCGGAGCUCAACUCCGGGUCUGCAGUCGAUACGGGCGGACUCGAGUUCGGCAGGGGAGACUGGAAUUCCUGGUGUAGCGGUGAAAUGCGCAGAUAUCAGGAGGAACACCGGUGGCGAAGGCGGGUCUCUGGGCCGAUACUGACGCUGAGGAGCGAAAGCGUGGGGAGCGAACAGG
rnacentral:rRNA from 1 species